rnacentral:rRNA from 1 species
GACGAACGCUGGCGGCGUGCUUAACACAUGCAAGUCGAACGGAAAGGCCCUGCUUUUGUGGGGUGCUCGAGUGGCGAACGGGUGAGUAACACGUGAGUAACCUGCCCUUGACUUUGGGAUAACUUCAGGAAACUGGGGCUAAUACCGGAUAGGAGCUCCUGCUGCAUGGUGGGGGUUGGAAAGUUUCGGCGGUUGGGGAUGGACUCGCGGCUUAUCAGCUUGUUGGUGGGGUAGUGGCUUACCAAGGCUUUGACGGGUAGCCGGCCUGAGAGGGUGACCGGCCACAUUGGGACUGAGAUACGGCCCAGAGUCUUACGGGAGGCAGCAGUGGGGAAUAUUGCACAAUGGGCGGAAGCCUGAUGCAGCAACGCCGCGUGCGGGAUGACGGCCUUCGGGUUGUAAACCGCUUUCGCCUGUGACGAAGCGUGAGUGACGGUAAUGGGUAAAGAAGCACCGGCUAACUACGUG